GACGAACGCUGGCGGCGUGCUUAACACAUGCAAGUCGAACGAAGUGGCGAACGGGUGAGUAACGCGUAAUCCACCUGCCCUUCAGAGGGGGACAACAGUUGGAAACGACUGCUAAUACCGCAUACUGAAGGAGGGGAGUGCGUCUGAUUCGGUAGUUGGAGGGGUAACGGCCAACCAAGGCGAUGAUCAGUAGCCUGUCUGAGAGGAAGAACUGCCACCAUGGGACUGGGACACGGCCCAGACCCCUACGGGGGGCAGCAGUGGGGAAACUUUCGACAUGGACGAAAGUCUGACGCAGCAACGCCGCGGUAGUCAUGACGGGCCUCGGGUUGUAAAGCUCUGUUAAUCGGGACGCGGUACCGGAAUAGAAAGCCACGGCUAACUACGUGCCAGCAGCCGCGGUAAUAC
rnacentral:rRNA from 1 species